GACGAACGCUGGCGGCGUGCUUAACACAUGCAAGUCGAACGGAAAGGCCCUGCUUUUGUGGGGUGCUCGAGUGGCGAACGGGUGCGUAACACGUGAGUAACCUGCCCUUGACUUUGGGAUAACUUCAGGAAACUGGGGCUAAUACCGGAUCGGAGCUCCUGCUGCAUUGUGGGGGUUGGAACGUUUCGGCGGUUGGGGAUGGACUCGCGGCUUAUCAGCUUGUUGGUGGGGUAGUGGCUUACCAAGGCUUUGACGGGUAGCCGGCCUGAGAGGGUGACCGGCCACAAUGGGACUGAGAUACGGACCAGACUCCUACGGGAGGCAGCAGUGGGGAAUAUGGCACAAUGGGCGGAAGCCUGAUGCAGCAACGCCGCGUGCGGGAUGACGGCCUUCGGGUUGUAAACCGCUGUCGCCUGUGACGAAGCGUGAGUGACGGUAAUGGGUAAAGAAGCACCGGCUAACUACGUG
rnacentral:rRNA from 1 species